rnacentral:rRNA from 1 species
CACGGAGGCCUCAAGCGUUGUUCGGAAUUACUGGGCGUAAAGGGUGCGUAGGCGGCGAGGCAAGUCAGAUGUGAAAGCCCGGGGCUCAACCUCGGAAUAGCAUCCGAUACUGCCUUGCUUGAGGGUUGGAGAGGAGACUGGAAUUCACGGUGUAGCAGUGAAAUGCGUGGAUAUCGUGAGGAAGGCCAAUGGCGAAGGCAGGUCUCUGGACAACUCCUGACGCUGAGGCACGAAGGCCAGGGGAGCAAAAAGG